rnacentral:snRNA from 1 species
AUACUUACCUGGCAAGGGAGACACCGUGAUCAAGAAGGUGGUUCACCCAGGGCGAGGCUCAGCCAUUGCACUCCGGCUGUGCUGACCCCUGCGAAUUUCCCAAAUGUGGAAAUCUCGAUUGCAUAAUUUCUGGUAGUGGUGGACUGCGUUCGCGCUCUCCCCUG